rnacentral:rRNA from 1 species
CGUAGUUGGAUUUCUGGUAUUUAACGUUGGUCCGGGUGUUCCUUAGGGAACCUUGAGUACCGACUGUUAACUACCAUCCUAGGAGUGUUGGUUUCGGCCAGUUCUCCUACUUUUACUUUGAAAAAAUUAGAGUGUUUAAAGCAAGCUUGCGCGAUGAAUACAUUAGCAUGGAAUAAUAAUAUAGGACUACGGGUUCUAUUUUAUUGGUUUCUAGACCUGAAGUAAUGA